rnacentral:tRNA from 1 species
GGGAAAGUAGCUCAGAGGCCAGAGCACUGGUGCGCACCGCUUGACCGAGCAGUCAGGGUCGUGGGUUCGACUCCCACCUUUCCCACAA